rnacentral:rRNA from 1 species
UACGGAGGAUCCAAGCGUUAUCCGGAAUCAUUGGGUUUAAAGGGUCCGUAGGCGGUUUAGUAAGUCAGUGGUGAAAGCCCAUCGCUCAACGGUGGAACGGCCAUUGAUACUGCUAGACUUGAAUUAUUAGGAAGUAACUAGAAUAUGUAGUGUAGCGGUGAAAAUGCUUUAGAGAUUACAUGGAAUACCAAUUGCGAAGGCAGGUUACUACUAAUGAUUGACGCUGAUGGACGAAAAGCGUGGGGUAGCGAAACAGGG